UCUAAUUAAUCCAUGACAAAAAUGCUGAAUCCCCACAUAUUGCAGUUAAAAAAACUGAAUUUUUGGCACGGUCUUCCAAACUCGUAUCUCCCCUGGGUUAUUUGCGGACUGCCUUUAAAACGUCGUUAAGAAACCCUGUCUGAUCAUGACCAACUUAAAGAUACGUUUUUUCCAACUUUUUUAUUAAAUAUCUCAAAGAAUGAAUGUGAUACUUCUCAAUAGAUCUAAUUUCGAUUAGAAAAAAAUUUCUCAGGAAUUUCUUUCAUAUCUGAUUUAAUAAUAAAUAAUAAAUUGUACAAAUUAAUUCUGUAUUAUAUUUAAAAAAAAAAUUGUUCACAGAUAAUAUCUAAAACAAUUCUCCACGAAUCUACACAAAAUAUCCAAGAACGCUAAGAAAUAGUUCAGAAAACGGUAAUUCAAAGAAAUUAACAAAUUGAUUGACAAGAAAAGAAUAAUGAGAAUAAUCUUAAAAAGAAUAAUGUAAUAUAUCAUAAUAAUGUAUAACCUAUAACCUAUAAUAUAAUUUUCUCAAAAGUAAUUUCUGCCAUUAACAAAUCGUGAGAAUAAUUUCACGGAAGGUCACAGUAUCGAUAAAUCCCAAGAAUAAUUAGAAUGAAUGGAAUAGUGCCGAUAAAUCGCGAGAAUAAUUCAACGAGAACGAUUCAAAGCGGGUGUUCUGUGGUCAGGUCAGCCUGUGUAGAAUGAUUUGAACGGUAAAUAUAUCCGCGAGCCGGACGUGCAGAUGCCUAAUCUGAGCCCAUGCUCUCGGAAGGGAGGAGGCCGCUUCAUCAAAUGAAGAAACGCGACUCUGCAUUCUGCAGAGGCCGUUUACCGGCACCAGUUUUUGGCCUCGAGCUUAGACAAAUCUUACGACUAGUUUAACCGAGCCAUUCGCUUCCUAUUCUACAAAAUAAUGAAUUUACCCAGUAAGUAAACGCUAUUAUCCCAAACACAUUGAAAAAUUUAACGUCCAAUUUCAAAGAACCAUAUAUAAAACCGAGUUAAAGAAACGAAAGACCAAAUAUUCUUCAGAAGACUUAAGAAGACCGAGAAAUCGAGGAAAGUUGAAUGAAAAGAAGUAUCUAAAAAGCGUGGUGUUCGAACAAUGACGGUGAAAAGUGGCUGUUUUUUCAACUUGCACGAUGGACAAUGAGGAUAUAUCUCUUGCGAUAGAAAUAGUUAUUAGACGAGGGCUGGCAAGUGAUUCUGAUUGUUAGAUACCAAGAUUCCCUUCUCUUCUCUCUCUCUCUCUAUUCAUGCAUUAUGCAAAGUAUCUUCCGCUCUCCGUAUUAUCCACGGUUUAUUCCCAUCGUUGUUGAUCGUGGUCGGAGAAAGCGUACGAAAUCGCUUCGUUCGUAAAAUAAUCGUGUGCUAUCUUGCCGAGUUUUUACAGUUAAACGAGAUGCAUUGAAAUAUGCCUCGUUAAUCUAGAUGGGAUCCUACGGUUCUUUUUGAAUAAAGAGCACAGUUGACCUUGAAUUAUGGGUGGAAAUGCCAAGAGAACAUAUCGCUGGUGAAUGAUUGUAUAAAGUUUAUGACUCGUAAGAUCGUUUUUUUCUGAAUACAAAAAUGGAAACGUAAUGGAGGUAACAAAAUUUUGUUGGAGAUGCUCUAAGAAUCUAAGUUCCAUAUCUACAGUUCCAUAAACUCUUUAUCAAGAAUCCCUGCAGCUACAGCUAAUGAGAUGCUCCUCGAAAGAGACAGCUUGAUCGAGGGUCACCGUGUCAACGCGAUUCCUGACGCGUGCACGCACUCGAGAACACGGCCUACGCGUGCAAUUCACAAACGCUCUUUUCGUCCCACGUUUUCUCGUCGUCUCUCCCAAUAGCUGCACUUUCCAUAAAUUAAUUAUUUUAAUAGGCUGUGUUCGAGGACGCGAGAUAUCCGAUGUCUCCACACGUGCACAACAGAAAUAUAAAUGGAUUAGCUAUAAUACUUUUA